UUACGGCCAUAUCACGUUGAAACACCGGUUCUCGUACAAUCACGGAAGUUAAGCAACGUCGAGCAUGGUCAUUAUCAAGAUGGCUGACCACUUGGGUAUGCCAGUUGUUGCAAG